GAAUCAUGAGUGAGAGGCUCUGGGAACACCAAGUCCACACUACUCUACUUACAAGUCCUAAACUGCCUAGUGGGAUCCAACGCUGACCCCAGUGGAGUUCUUUACCCAUGACUGGUGUCCUCAGGAAUGUGUCUGUGGGAAGAAAAGUCUCAAAUGCUGGGGAAUGGAGCCAUCGAUAAUUUCUUUCCUAUGUUGGAGUGCAAGAGAGCCCCUAAGGCUGGAGCACUCCCCAAGUAAGCAGGCAGAGACAGAGACCUGAGUCCUACUGCUGAGUCAUUUAAAUCUGCUUUAGAUCGGGUUUUCCCAGGGCAUGGAAAGGACAGGGCUCCCAGUGGAGAUAUCAUGUAGCUAUAGGGCCUAGAAGUAUUUUUUCAGUAGAUGAAAUUUAGAAAUAAUUUGAAUAUUUUAUGCUGGGGAGGUAGCUUGUGGAGUGAAAUGGUCGGGUAAAGGAAACACUGAGUUCAAGUGCUUCUUUAUAAAGGACACUUAACUGAUCUAAAUAUUUGUCAAGCUGAAUCGCUACAUCCACUCUCACCUGCCUGAAAUCAAUAUGCUCAAGUCAAACGCAUUUGCCUGCAUCUGAAUGUGGAGAAUGAACUUCUUAAAGCUGAACUGGCAGCUGGAAGGGGAGAGAGAAGAGCUGGACAGGGAGCCAGGACACCGGAGUUCUUUUCCACUGUGGUGGGAUCUGGAAGAAGCUGUUGAAUCUCUGUAGAGUUAGCUUUUAAAUGCUGUGAGUCUUUGGAAAGCUGUGCGAAUAACUGCUAAACACCCAGGACAGCUUAUGCAUUUUUUGAAAAAGGUUCCUGGUGCUGGUUCCAGCAGAAUAGACACAGAGAUGCAUGGCCUAACUCCCACUCCCUCUUCAGGACUGAGCCACGCAGCCCCCCAUCUGCCAGAAGUGUUAGCUGUUGACGGCUCACAGCUGAGUCCCUCUCCAGGCAUUGCUGAAAAGAGCCACCUUGCUCUAGGAUGUGCCCCCACCCUGGGGGCAGCAUACAUUCCAAGUGAUUAGUCCAUAGUGUGGUACAAAGGUUGUACCCAUCUUGCCUGAAUUCAGGAUCUCUUGGAAAACCACCCCAGCUCUGCAGCUCCUGGUGGGGUGCUGAGGCCUCUGCUGCAGCUGCAUCGCAGUUUACUUUCCCCUCUGCCUAGUCCUGCUGCCUUCACUCCCCAACAGAUCACCCGCUCUGAACAUGCCAUCUACUGUGGAAAUCUUCAAUCUUUAAUUAAUUUUUCCUGUUACAGGAAGAUUAAGUCUAAAAGGGUAUCUCCCCUAGUUGAUCCAGAACUAAAUAACAUUGUUUUCAGUACUUCCAGUAACUUGCUUACACUCUUACUUCUAAAGCAUUGAAUGUAUCAUCUUAUGUGCUUGUCACCCCCAGCUUGUGUCAUAGGAGAAAGUAUACGGAGAUCAGGUACAACUUCAGUUCAACAGCUUAUGAGCUAUUGGAUCAGUCUCCUUAUUAAUCUCUCAGAGCCUCAAUUUCCUUGUUUAAAAUGGGGGCAAUACCUACCUUAAGGAAUUUCUUGAGGAUCAAAAGAAACCCUAGUAACAAAGCCUUGAACCAUGUCUGACUUAUAGUAUAUAUUCUAA
ensembl:lncRNA MYOSLID myocardin-induced smooth muscle lncRNA, inducer of differentiation